GUAGGUGGCAAGCGUUGUCCGGAAUUAUUGGGCGUAAAGCGCGCGCAGGCGGUCCUUUAAGUCUGGUGUGAAAGCCCACGGCUCAACCGUGGAGGGUCAUUGGAAACUGGGGGACUUGAGUACAGAAGAGGAAAGCGGAAUUCCAAGUGUAGCGGUGAAAUGCGUAGAGAUUUGGAGGAACACCAGUGGCGAAGGCGGCUUUCUGGUCUGUAACUGACGCUGAGGCGCGAAAGCGUGGGGAGCAAACAGGAUUAGAUACCCUGGUAGUCCACGCCGUAAACGAUGAGUGCUAAGUGUUAGGGGGUUUCCCGCCCCCUUAGUGCUGCAGCUAACGCAUUAAGCACUCCGCCUGGGGGAGUACGGCCGCAAGGCUG
rnacentral:rRNA from 1 species